rnacentral:rRNA from 1 species
GAUGAACGCUAGCGGCAGGCCUAAUACAUGCAAGUCGAACGGUGUCUUCGGACAUAGUGGCGCACGGGUGCGUAACACGUAUGCAACCUACCUUACAUUGGGGGAUAGCCUUUCGAAAGGGAGAUUAAUACCGCAUAAGACAGUAGCUGGGCAUCCAGCAGCUGUUAAAGAUUUAUCGAUGUAAGCUGGGCAUGCGUCCAAUUAGCUAGUUGGUGAGGUAACGGCUCACCAAGGCAAUGACUGGUAGGGGAACUGAGAGGUCAAUCCCCCACACUGGCACUGAGAUACGGGCCAGACUCCUACGGGAGGCAGCAGUGGGGAAUAUUGGACAGUGGGCGGAAGCCUGAUCCAGCCAUGCCGCGUGUGCGAAGAAGGCCUUUUGGUUGUAAAGCACUUUAAGCGAGGAGGAGGAGCUCUAGGUUAAUACCCUAGAUGCUUGGACGUUACUCGCAGAAUAAGCACCGGCUAACUCUGUGCCAGCAGCCGCCGUAACAC